GACGAACGCUGGCGGCGUGCUUAACACAUGCAAGUCGAACGGGCCCGCUCUCUUUUUUGGGGGUGGGUUGAGUGGCGAACGGGUGAGUAUCACGUGAGUAACCUGCCCCCUGCUCCUGGAUAACUGCUUGAAAGGGCGGCUAAUACGGGGUGUGCCGGCUGGUCCGCAUGGGCCUGGUCGGGAUAGUUUCAUCUUCGGGUGUUUCGGUGGGGGAUGGGCUCGCGGCCUAUCAGCUUGUUGGUGGGGGGAUGGCCCACCAAGGCGGUGACGGGUAGCCGGCCUGAGAGGGUGGGCGGCCACACUGGGACUGAGACACGGCCCAGACGCCUGCGGGAGGCAGCAGUGGGGGGUAUUGCACAAUGGGCGGAAGCCUGAUGCAGCGACGGCGCGUGAGGGAUGGAGGCCUUCGGGUUGUGAAACUCUUUCUCCGGUGGUGAAGGCCCUGUCCGUUGCGGCGGGGUUGACGGUAGCCGGGUAUGAAGCGCCGGCUAACUACGUG
rnacentral:rRNA from 1 species